GAUGAACGCUAGCGGCAGGCUUAACACAUGCAAGUCGAGGGGCAGCAUAAAUAGUAGCAAUACUAUUGGUGGCGACCGGCGGACGGGUGCGUAACGCGUAUACAACCUUCCCUUAACAGGGGGAUAAUCUGGAGAAAUUCGGUCUAAUACCCCAUAACAUCAGAGCAGGCAUCUGUUUUGGUUAAAAUUUCCGGAGGCUUAGGAUGGGUAUGCGUAGCAUUAGCUAGUUGGUGAGGUAACGACUCACCAAGGCGACGAUGCUUAGGGGGACUGAGAGGUUAACCCCCCACACUGGUACUGAGACACGGACCAGACUCCUACGGGAGGCAGCAGUGAGGAAGAUUGGUCAAUGGGCGGAAGCCUGAACCGGCCAUGCCGCGUGCAGGAUGACGGCUCUAUGAGUUGUAAACUGCUUUUGUACGAGGUUAAAUUGGGCUACGUGUAGCCUUUUGAAAGUAUCGUACGAAUAAGGAUCGGCUAACUCCGUGCCAGCCGCCGCAGUAA
rnacentral:rRNA from 1 species